UGUGGCCCCGCGUUACAGUCGGAUUUAUGUAUGUUUCCUGAAGUGAAGGCAACGUAAAGUGUGCGCAAUAUCUACUUGUACGAGUAUACCCGUAUGCUAUAACUCGUAGCCGUAUAAUUUAUAACGUUUUCUGGUUGGUUGAUUUUCCAGCUGAAGUCAUAGUACGACAGGCUGAUGGGUAUAUUAUGUUUGCCACGAAGUAUGGAACACCCAGAAGGAAGCGUCGGACACCCUAUAAAGUAUGUAUGUAUAUAUAAAUGAUCAGUAUGUUGAGCUGAGUCGAUUUAGCCAUGUCCGUCUGUUUGCUGUCCGUUUAUACAUAUCUAUAUAUGUAUAUACGAACUAGUCCCUCAGUUGUUAAGAUAUCGUUUUGAAAUUUUGUAAAAGUAAUUUUGUCUUCAAGAAGCUGCUCAUUUGUCGGAAUUGCCGAUAUCGGACUGAAUACAAAAUUUAUGUUUGAUAAAAACAAACCUUGUUUGUAUUUUCACAAUUUGAUUAAAGAGAUUACAAUUUUUAUUAUUAUAAGUGUUAUAAAAUUUAAUUUUAUUAAAAUAGGUGUCCACAAAUGGGGCGGCGAGAAUCCUAUUCCGACUUUUACGGAUGGAUGUCCUAAAGUA